UACGUAUGUCGCAAGCGUUAUCCGGAUUUAUUGGGCGUAAAGCGCGUCUAGGCGGAAAAAUAAGUCUGAUGUUAAAAUGCGGGGCUCAACUCCGUAUUGCGUUGGAAACUGUUUUUCUAGAGUACUGGAGAGGUGGGCGGAACUACAAGUGUAGAGGUGAAAUUCGUAGAUAUUUGUAGGAAUGCCGAUGGAGAAGUCAGCUCACUGGACAGAUACUGACGCUAAAGCGCGAAAGCGUGGGGAGCAAACAGGAUUAGAUACCCGUGUAGUCCGGAACUAGAAACCCGGGUAGUCCGCC
rnacentral:rRNA from 1 species